rnacentral:rRNA from 1 species
GACAGAGGGUGCGAACGUUUGUUCGGAAUUACUGGGCGUAAAGCGCAUGUAGGCGGCAGCGCAAGUCGGGCGUGAAAUCCCACGGCUCAACCGUGGAAGUGCACUCGAAACUGCGCAGCUAGAGUCCUGGAGAGGAAGGUGGAAUGCUUGGUGUAGAGGUGAAAUUGUAGAUAUCAAGCGAACUCCGGAUGGCGAAGGCGGCCU